UGGGGGCUCCUGUGAGCAACAGGAAGUCAAUAGAGCCAUCUGCAAACAAGCUUCAUAAGCAAUGGACAAUUUCCAUUACAACUCCAUUUCUCAGAGUGCCAUUUGUCACAAGUUUUAUUUCUCUGUUCUUUAUUUAAAAGUAACUGUCUCAUAUUUAAAUGAAAUUUUAACAUUAAAAUAUAGCAGCUUUCGAGUUCUUUUUUCUUUCACAGGUUCAGAGUUGUACUGUUGAUUUUUUUUUUUUUUGGCAUAAUGAUAUUCUAUUCAUUCAGUUGUGUUGUCUUCCUUUGAGCUCCACUGGGGAACGCUGUGUCCAAAAAACAAAAACUCGUGUUUCCUCCUCCUGGAAGGAGAUUCUCAUGGAACUUGAGAGUUUGUUACAUUGGUGGUGCCCUCGGCCCUUUUUAGCGAGGCUGGCAGUAUUCAUCACUCACUGACUGCCCCUGCAAACAUCUGUGUCAUGCAUCAUCACCUUCUGCUGUGUCAAUUGCUUAUAUUUCAUUCUUUGCAUUACUAGAAAGCUUCACACAUGAUUCCUGUAAUUCCUUUAAUGUUCUCAGCAGUGUGCAGAUAUGCUGAAAUAAGUGUGUGUGUGUGUGUGUGUGUGUGUGUGUGUGUGUGUGUGUGUGUGUGUGUGUGUGUUCCUAUGCAAGCCAGGGAUCAGGAAAGUCAAUACAUUCCAGUGACCCACGAAGGUAGAAAGACACUAAUACACUAGACCCCGUAGUUUCUCAUCUCACUGUAAAGGAGUGACCAGUGCAGCAGCAUUCCCUGGUCUGCAGCUGGCUGCAUGUGCCCAGAACACAGUCAUCAAAUCCUCUUUAUCAUGUCAAUUUGCCUCAGUUGUGUCCAGGAAGACCAAGGUAUUGGAUUUACUCCCUUGUUCAUAGUAGUAAAUCCUGCACUUCUUUUCCUCCAAGCUACAUGAGAAGAAGCAUAAAACCGUGCUAGCAUGCAGCUGCUCUUUGACUUAGCAUCUUCAGUAAAACUGUAGAGCAAAAACAGCAUGAAUACUUGGUUCUAGCUGGAAACUGGGAUUUUUGUCUUUAAAGGAGUUCUUUUGCUUCUAAGAAACAUAGUUCUCUUUGUUUUAGCUGCUUUUAAGAAUUUUAUUCAAAGAGUUGAAAAUAUACAAGACAGCUUGGUGAUUACUCUUUGUCCUCAAGUUGUAAGUCCUUAAAAUUCAACAAACACAUGACCUUUACAACAGGUUAUUUCUCCUGUUUUCCUCAAAACUAGUGCUUUUACUGAUCUUGGUUUGAGAUAUAAUCAACUUAUGUGAUAUUGGCUGUCCUGUGGUCUCUUUACCGAGUAUACUUUGGCGGGUUGGUCUGCAGGACUAAAUGGGGAAGUGGAUAUAUGGAAAUUGCUUUCUACUGUGGGACGUUAGCGAAGAGUGGGAGCAUAGAGAUGUACCUCAGCACCAUAGUAACCUACGCACAUGGACCUUUUGUUGAACACAGCACGUCACACAGGGGUAAAAGGAACAGUCUCGGGCAAGUGCAGGACAGCCCUGAGAAACAGUACUUGCUUAAGGCCCGUUGUAUUUUUAAGUAGUCUCGGGGAUGUCCAGGUGUCCUGAUUUAAAGGCACCACUUUUUAAAUCAGGAAACUGUGUCUUGUUCUGAGGUCUGAUGUAAUAAAAUACAUAUUCCUAGGGGAUAGUACGGCUGGACCCAUGAACCAUGUUACAGCCAGUGAUUUAUUCACAGUGUUAACCACAGUUAAUGGCAAAUAUGUAAGCCACACAUGGUCUCAGGGUGGCCUUUUAACUGGAGCACAGUCAUAGAUCCAUGGAGUAGGACAAAGGCAGAACAGUUUGUGUCCUGUCUAGAAAAGCUCUCCUUCUGCUGUGCGACUCAGUAGUAGUUACUCGUAUCCAGCAUUCUCUCUGGAGCUCAGCCACGGGCUGUUGAUGUCUUGUUUUUGUUUACCCAUUCUUUACUUCAUUGCUCACAGUGCCAAAUCCUGCUCUAAGAUGUCUACUAUUUUCACUCAUUUCUUUUCUUGCAUUGAAUUUUAUAAAGUAAAAUUGACUUUGGUCUUUUAGAUGUUAACCAUAUGAUUUUAAACAGUUUUUAUACUUUAGUGAGCUACUAAGUUGGUAUCCUAAUUUGCUUCACUAUUGCUGUGACAAAACACUGACCAAAACCAACUUGGGGAGGAAUUAAUUUAUUAGGUUUGCAGGGAAGAACUGAGGCAGAGCCACAGCGCAGCAAUGCUUACAAGCCUCUUCCCUUACGGCCCAGGCCCACCUGCCCAGGGCCAGCACCACCCACAAUGGGCUUGGCCCUCCCAUGUUAAUCAGCAGUCAAGAAAAUGCCCAACAGACAUGCUCAUUAGGCUAGUCUGAUGGAGGCAGUUCUUCUGUUGAGAUUUCCUCUCCCCAGCUUUGUUGAGGUUUGUGUCAAAUUGGCAAAAUCGAUGACAGCUACGGAUCAUUCUUCCUCUUUCUUGUCUCUGUUAAAAUUGCCAGGACCAUAUCUCCGUAAGAAUCUAACUCCCCCAGCUUCAGUGUAUUACAGAGAACUAACAAGGAGGUUCUUUUAGAGCUGUACUUACCAUUUGUACGGAAUAUUCAGAUUUCAAGCCAAAAUGUACAUGUACUUUAUUCAGGUGUCACGUUUCCUUGGCCCGUAUUUCCAUGAUUUAGUAGAGUUUAAAGAGGUGUUUGUUUGUUUGUUUGUUUACUUAUUUUGCACACCAGUUGUUCGUUAGAUACAUCUUUUGCAAAUAUAUUCUUCUAUUCUGUUGCCUAUUCUCUUGAUUUUUGAAAAAUUUAAAAUACUUUUAAAAUAAUCUUAGAUACUAUUCUCUAAUAAAAUUUCAGAAUACAAAGAUUUUUAUAUGAUUAAACAGCUUAAGAUCCUUGUUUUCAUGGAAGGACAUUAUAAAGUAAAAACUUUAGAUAUACAUGGCUAACCUGAUGAAUAAGAGAGGAUUUAUUUUCUAAUUUUGCUUUAUAAGCGUCACUAAUAGCUAAUUUAGCAGGAGAGAGCCAGCCCCUAUGCACCUCCAUGGUUUAACAGUUCCUAUAUAAACCAUAAUUAGAAGGGUCUGUACUCCAUUAGACCUCGUGUUUUAACCCAGCAUUGUCUGUUGAAGCUUGCUAUCUAUCCAUCCCAGACCUUCAAAAGUCUCAGGACUUGCCAGCCCCUUGCUCACCAGGAUCUUUUAGAACUCACCAGACUUCAGGGUAACAUUCAAGAUUCAUUCCACAUUUAGCUUUCUUGGUGCUUGUAGCCAUGGCCACAGAGAAAGCAUUUAGGAAAAAGAAAGGAAAUGUGUACUGAACUGAGCUGAACCAGCAGAUGGGACAGGGGUCAGAAGACUGUCAUUGUAAGUACAAGGAUAAAAUAGUUUCCUUUGAGAAAGGAAGAGGCAGCAUGUAUCUGUGGAACACUGAAAAUGUUCAAAUAACUGGAGCUCUUGACUGGAAAAGUUAUACAGGAAACAGCAGUUUGAAUGUCAUCGUAUCUUUUUCAUAGAAUGGUAAGGUUUACAGUUAGGAUGUUCUUAAAAUUCAUCUUAUUAAUCCAUAAAACAUCAAAUUGAAGUCUAUCAGUAAAUCUCAAAUACUUUUUUGUUGUCACAGUCUUAACUCUUCAGCAAGUGCCUUAUAGUCUGAUUCAGGGAUGCAUAUCUCUCAUCCCAGACUACUUAGGAAAGCAAGGCAGGGGAGCAUUUCAGUAGUUCACUGCAGGCAGCAGGCUGAGAUACCAUCUCAAGAGAGACAGGAAAAAAGACAGGUCCCUAAGUGUAUUCAUACAAGUCCAUAGUGGCCUUGGAAAUUUAAAAAGUAAUAUUCCUAAUUAAAAAGUGUCUCUUUUUUUAAAGCAUAACACUUGCUUUUCCUUACUCUUUGUGUUGUUUUCUCUCUGCUUCUUUCACAAUUCCU
rnacentral:lncRNA from 1 species